AAAAAAUAUAACAAGAGAAAACGGGAGCGACAGUUGGAAUAUUCAAUCGCUUAGAAACGCGAUAGGUAAAGAGAUUUCUAUUCAAGAGUCCGGAUACGGGGAUUAUACACAGACGUAUUCAACCGCAACUCCUAGCGCAAAUUUCAUAACAGGCGUUAAACGAGUAACUACAGAUAAAACUCGUCCGAUAAACACAACAGAC
rnacentral:lncRNA from 1 species